AAAACCGACCCAAACCAAAGAAUAUGUCUAAGCCAUUUGGUUCACGAUUUUGUCUACCCAAAUUGUUCUGUUUAUUUUGGUUCAUGAUUACAUUUUAUUAUGAUGUUUGGUUUUACGUUUAAAUAUGAAAAAAUAAAAUGAUAAUUUAUAUAUGUUUUAUAAAUUAUUAUUUUUGUAACUGAACUAGAACAUAACUGAAAAAUCAAAUUGACUGAACUGAACAAAUAAAACCCAAAUUAAACUGAUUUAUCCAUCAACACAACUAAACCAAACUAAACUGAACCAAACUGAAUUAAAACCGAACCGGAAAAAAUUAACUUGGGUUGACAUCGGUAAAAUUUUUCUUAAACCCAAAUAAACCAAGCCAAACCGUACCGAACCCA
rnacentral:lncRNA from 1 species